UACGUAGGGCGCAAGCGUUAUCCGGAAUUAUUGGGCGUAAAGAGCUCGUAGGCGGUUUGUCGCGUCUGCCGUGAAAUCCCGAGGCUCAACCUCGGGUCUGCAGUCGAUACGGGCAAACUAGAGUAUUGCAGGGGAGACUGGAAUUCCUGGUGUAGCGGUGAAAUGCGCAGAUAUCUGGAGGAACACCGAUGGCGAAGGCGGGUCUCUGGGCAGUAACUGACGCUGAGGAGCGAAAGCGUGGGGAGCGAACAGGAUUAAGAA
rnacentral:rRNA from 1 species